rnacentral:rRNA from 1 species
UCGGCCCUUAUGGGUAGGGCUUCACACGUCAUACAAUGGUCGGUACAGAGGGUUGCCAAGCCGCGAGGUGGAGCCAAUCCCUUAAAGCCGAUCGUAGUCCGGAUCGUAGUCUGCAACUCGACUACGUGAAGUCGGAAUCGCUAGUAAUCGCAGAUCAGCAUGCUGCGGUGAAUACGUUCCCGGGUCUU